GCCAGUGGCUCACCUGCUUAAGCACACACGUUACAGUGCACAAGGACCCAGGUUCAAGCCCUUGGUCCUCACCUGCAGGGGAAAAGCUUUACAAAUGGUGAAGCAGGCCUGUGGGUAUCUGUCUCUUUCCCUCUCUUUUUAUCUCCCACACCCCUCUCAAUUUCUUUCUGUCUCUAUCCAGUGAUAACUAAAUAAUAAUUAAAAAAAUAAAAAAGGGGGAUAGCGUGGUAGCACAGCGGGUUAUGCACAGGUGGUGAGAAGUGCAAGGAUCCCGGUUGGAGUCCUGGCUCCUCACCUGCAGGGGAGUUGCUUCACUGUUGGUGAAGCAGGUCUUCAGGUGUCUAUCUUUCUUUCCCCCUCUCUGCCUCCCCCCUUCUCUCUAUUUCUCUCUGUCCUAUCCAACAAUGACGACAACAGUAAUAACUACAACAAUAAAACAACAAGGGCAACAAAAAGGAAUAUUUUAAAAUAAAUAAAUAAAUAAUACCCCACCUGCAGGGGAGUCACUACACAAGCGGUGAAGCAGGUCUGCAGGUGUCUGUCUUUCUCUCCCCUCUCUGUCUUCUCCUCCUCUCUCCAUUUCUCUCUGUCCUAUCCAACAACAUCAAUCAUAACUACAACAAUAAAACAAGGGCAACAAAAGAUAAUAAAUAUUUUUUUAAAUCUUAAAAAAUAAAAAGUAAAUAAAAAUAAACUUAUUCCCAAGUUAAAGCUCCAGAGAUUCAGUUUUUCUUUUUCUUUCUUGCUAGACAGAGACAGAGAGGCAGAGAGAGAGAGAGAGA